GGCAGAGGGUGCAAACGUUGUUCGGAAUUACUGGGCGUAAAGCGCGUGUAGGCGGCCCGGAAAGUCGGAUGUGAAAGCCCUGGGCUUAACCCAGGAAGUGCAUUCGAAACUCCCGGGCUUGAGUUCUGGAGAGGAAGGCGGAAUUCUCGGUGUAGAGGUGAAAUUCGUAGAUAUCGAGAGGAACACCGGUGGCGAAGGCGGCCUUCUGGACAGUGACUGACGCUGAGACGCGAAAGCGUGGGGAGCAAACAGG
rnacentral:rRNA from 1 species